CUAGCUGUGAUUGUGUGUGCAUCUUCCUUAAUUUUUUCACCGUAAGUGCUUUGACAGCGACCAUGUCGAGGCCUUCUUCAUGCCGGCGUCCAUCAGCGUUCCCAGCAGCCCGCGGGGUGUCAGCGCUGCUGCUGCUGCAGGCGCUGCUGGCGUCAGCGGACCACGGCCACGACCACGCGUCUGGACAUG